UUAAAAUUCAAGAGUAUUUGUAUCGAAAACUAUGGAAAUAAAUGACAACUGACAGAUGAACCUUCGUCCCCGUACCUCAUCUGAUCCAAAAAAAUAAGCAGAAUUAACACACCCGACCCACUCACCCAUCCACCACCUCCAUCACCAGGAAACUCCGCUUACAGCAUUUGCGAUGGAGACGAAGAGAGUGUUAGUGGUAGGAGGGACAGGCUACUUAGGCCAACACGUUUUACUAUCCCUUUCACGAAUCAAAGACAGCGCCCCUUACGAUCUCGCUUUCACUUACCACUCCAAUUCAAAUCUUCUUGAGCCCUUGCUUGACGCCAUCCCUCACUCUCACGCUUUCCAUGUUGAUUUAACUACGGGUGACGGAUUCCAAUCCAUCGCCUCCAAAUUUGGCCAGCCUCAUGUUGUGGUGAACUGUGCUGCACUGUCUGUGCCUCGUGUUUGUGAGAAGGACCCUGAUGCUGCUAUGUCUAUAAAUGUACCUUGCUCUCUUGUAAACUGGUUGUCGAGCUUCGAGGAGAGAGAUACUCUACUUAUCCAUUUAUCAACUGAUCAAGUUUAUGAAGGGGUGAAAUCAUUCUACAAGGAAGAAGACGAAACUGUUCCUGUUAAUGUGUAUGGUAAAUCAAAAGUGGCAGCAGAGCAGUUUAUUUCUAAGACAUGGCCAAACUAUGCAAUAUUGAGAAGCAGUAUCAUCUUUGGGCCACAAACUAUCUCUCCCGUCCAAAAAUCACUUCCAAUUCAGUGGAUUGAUGGUGUCCUCUCCAAAAAAGAACAAGUAGAGUUCUUCCAUGAUGAGUUCCGCUGCCCAGUGUAUGUCAAGGAUGUUGUGACCAUUAUACUGUCUUUGAUAAACAAAUGGAUAAUAGGGCGUGCACCUCUUGUAAGAGCCUGGGACAGCCGGGGUUUUACUCACUCAUCUAGGCUCACAAAGUGCGCUUUCCGGGGGUGGGGUUUCCUCGAAUCCAAAAAAAAAAGUUUUCUCUUAUGUAAAACUAAAUGGUGUUAAAAUAAGUUGCUUCUUUAUUUGCUUAUUGAAGUAUGAUCAAUUGUACCAACAUGUGAUGGGAAUGUAACUGAAAUUCGUAGCUCCCCUGUAGUUGUUAACUAGGUAUUUCUUUAUUGGCAUUGUACUUCUUGAUUUUUCCUGCCGCCUGUUUGCCUCUGUGCUUUGACAUCGGAUCUGGCCCGAUCAUCCUGAUAUUGGUGGUGCUUGUCCUAGAGGGUAAGCAGAUGAAGUUGCUCUUAAAUGUUGGUGGACCUGACAGAGUAUCUCGUGUUCAAAUGGCUGAAACUGUUGCACAUGUUAGAGGAUACAACACCUCUUUGAUCAAGCAAGUAUCUGCAUCUUCGGUUUAUCGUGGAGUCUCAU